UACGUAGGGCGCAAGCGUUGUCCGGAAUUAUUGGGCGUAAAGCGCGUGUAGGCGGUCUCGCAAGUCGGAUGUGAAAGCCCAGGGCUCAACCCUGGAAGUGCACUCGAUACUGCGAGGCUAGAGUCCCGGAGAGGAUGGUGGAACUCUCGGUGUAGAGGUGAAAUUCGUAGAUAUCGAGAAGAACACCGGUGGCGAAGGCGGCCAUCUGGACGGUGACUGACGCUGAGAGCGAAAGCGUGGGGAGCAAACGGG
rnacentral:rRNA from 1 species